AGAAUCAACGCUGGCGGCGUGCCUCAGAUAUGCAAGUCGAACGCGAAAGUUUCCUUCGGGAGACAAGUAGAGUGGCGCACGGGUGAGUAACACGUAGGUAAUCUACCUUCGGAUGGGGAAUAACAAUCGGAAACGGUUGCUAAUACCGCAUAAUGCAGCGGCACCUAAUGGUGACAGUUGUUAAAGCGGGGGAUCGAAAGACCUCGCGUCUGAAGAGGAGCCUGCGGCGGAUUAGCUAGUUGGUAAGGUAAUGGCUUACCAAGGCUACGAUCC
rnacentral:rRNA from 1 species